rnacentral:rRNA from 1 species
UACGUAGGGUGCAAGCGUUGUCCGGAAUUAUUGGGCGUAAAGAGCUCGUAGGCGGUCUGUCGCGUCGGCUGUGAAAACUCGGGGCUCAACCCCGAGCCUGCAGUCGAUACGGGCAGACUAGAGUGCUGUAGGGGAGACUGGAAUUCCUGGUGUAGCGGUGGAAUGCGCAGAUAUCAGGAGGAACACCGGGUGGCGAAGGCGGGUCUCUGGGCAGUAA